AAUAAAGUCUCGUGUCCGUGGCAAAAUAUCGUUUGAUCUCGUUUGUUAUUCAUUAACAUAAGGCAGCACCUGUGCUUUUGCCGAGUCGUCGCUGGUAGAAUACUUGUCCUCAGUUCAGCAACGAAGCAUAGCAUCUCGUUUAGGACGACUACUGUGGGGGUUUAGAGCUUUCACACAGACUGGGCGCAUAGUAACGUUGAUGGAAAAGGGAUAUGCCAAACGAACACUGGAGGUUCCGUACCCUUGCUGUGUCCAUUAUUAGUGUGAGCUGCAUCCACACGGAGGUUGGACUGCUUUACGCAAGGGUUCGGGAGUUUAUGUAAACAGCGUUGCCAUGACGGAGCAGGUACAAACAUUUGAAGUUUACACCUACUGCAUUCAUAGCGCAUGGUUGUAGUUUACUAACUAUGGUUGUAUCUGUUUUAGGAACGACUGUGUUGGUAGUGAUAAUAGCCACUGUUUUGUCUUGGUUUAUUUUCGUUCUGUUUGUUUCUUUUACUGAGUGCCACACUGAUUUUGUCCAUACUGGUGUUUGAAGGCCUAUGUCGGGCUACAGCGCAAUCCCUUGCAACGGGCCAAUGUUGAAACUAAACCUUGAAAUCAUAGAUAAGUACCAUACUACCAUAAGUAUACGGGAGACUGUUACUCUGGGGCAUAGUGUCUAUGCUUCCGGCUGUAUUAGUUCAUAGAUUUACUGACGGCUGCUUAGUGCAUUCACACGGUAUUUCCACGGUAGACUGUUACUCCGGGGCAUAGUGUCUAGGCUUCCGGCUGUAUUGGUUCAUAGAAUCACUGACUGCUGCUUCGUGCAUUCACACGGUAUUUCCAUACGGGAUACUGUUACUCCGGGGCAUAGGGUCUAUAUGCUCCCGGCGGUAUUAGUUCAUAGAUUUACUAACGGGUUUACCCAUUGACUUAGCGCAUCCAUACUGGAAACUGGUACUCCUGAGCCAUAGGGUUCUAUGACUCGUUGUAUAGGUUGAAUUAGAUUUGCUAUAACUCUGUACUUAGUACACUUACACUGUGAACAUUUAGCAGACUCUUACAGUAGCUGCGAUACCCUCAGACCUAAGCUUUAAGUACUACAUUAAUCCCCAGAAGGUAAUAAUCUUAAGCAGGGCUCCUCACUCCUAAGUGUUUGCUGUGGUCACCUUGUUUGCUCAGCUUGUAGUGCACCUUACCUUGGCCCAGGCCAUUUUGCUGUGUUGUAAAUCGUACAUUUCCCUUUCUUUUGUUUUCUUUUGUGUCCUGUGUGCCACUAUUUAUUGUGAGGAGACCCCGUCCUGGUUGAUCUUUGUGGAGGCUUUGUAAACUUGAAGCCUAUGUUGAGUGCCCUACCAAACUGUCAUUAUCGUUUUUUAAAGACUUAUAU